CAGCCGCCGCGGUAAUACCGGCGGCCCGAGUGGCGGUCACUAUUAUUGGGCUUAAAGCGUCCGUAGCCGGGUUGGGAAGUCCUCCGGGAAAUCUGGCCGCUUAAAGGUCAGAAUGCCGGAGGAUACUCCCAGCCUAGGGAGCGGGAGAGGCCGAGGGGAUUCCCGGGGUAGGGGGGAAAUCCUAUAAUCCCGGGAGGACCACCUGUGGCGAAGGCGCUCGGCUGGAACGCGUCCGACGGUGAGGGACGAAGGCCAGGGGAGCAAACCGGAUUAGAUACCCGGGUAGUCCUGGCUGUAAACGAUGCGGACUUUGUGUCGGACAAGCUAUGAGCUUGUCCGGUGCCGGAGGGAAACCGUUAAGUCCGCCGCCUGGGGAGUACGGCCGCAAGGCUGAAACUUAAAGGAAUUGGCGGG
rnacentral:rRNA from 1 species